UCUUGGACUAACCAAUACUUGAUAUGAUGUUGGUUGUGGACGUCCCAUGUGGGUGUGGGAAUGGGUGCACUGUGGGCACCUUGUGUGGUUCCAAUUCUAUCUCAUGUAGGAGUCCUUUUUUUGUGAGUAUUAGACUGAUUCAAAGUAUAUUUGAAUUAGGAGUCCUAUAUUUAUUGGGUCAUAAGAAUCAUCCAUAAAUAGAGAGGGUCUCAACCUAUGGAUGCAUAGAAAAUAAAUUAGAUUGAGGGAAGAGAGAAAGGGAGCGAGGCGUGAGAAGAGGGAGCUCCUUCCUUCCUUGACAUCUCCCCAUCAUUACCGCCCAUCCUCUCCCUUGCCAUGGACCCACUUUGGGCAUUUUCCUUACAGGUGUGAGGCAUCACACCCGCACCUCUCCUCCCUCGUUUGGUUAGGUUGCGAAGAUGAUUUGAUCAGAGUUCAUCUCGCUUUUCUGUAUUAUCUGGCGUACAUACGAAGUAG
rnacentral:lncRNA from 1 species